rnacentral:rRNA from 1 species
AACGAACGCUGGCGGCAUGCCUAACACAUGCAAGUCGAACGAGAUCUUCGGGUCUAGUGGCGCACGGGUGCGUAACGCGUGGGAAUCUGCCCUUUGGUUCGGAAUAACAGUUGGAAACGACUGCUAAUACCGGAUGAUGACGAAAGUCCAAAGAUUUAUCGCCAGAGGAUGAGCCCGCGUAGGAUUAGCUAGUUGGUGUGGUAAAGGCGCACCAAGGCGACGAUCCUUAGCUGGUCUGAGAGGAUGAUCAGCCACACUGGGACUGAGACACGGCCCAGACUCCUACGGGAGGCAGCAGUGGGGAAUAUUGGACAAUGGGCGAAGGCCUGAUCCAGCAAUGCCGCGUGAGUGAUGAAGGCCUUAGGGUUGUAAAGCUCUUUUACCCGGGAUGAUAAUGACAGUACCGGGAGAAUAAGCUCCGGCUAACUCCGUGCCAGCAGCCGCGGUAAAAC